rnacentral:rRNA from 1 species
GACGAACGCUGGCGGCGUGCUUAACACAUGCAAGUCGAACGGAAAGGCCCUGCUUUUGUGGGGUGCUCGAGUGGCGAACGGGUGAGUAACACGUGAGUAACCUGCCCUUGACUUUGGGAUAACUUCAGGAAACUGGGGCUAAUACCGGAUAGGAGCUCCUGCUGCAUGGUGGGGGUUGGAAAGUUUCGGCGGUUGGGGAUGGACUCGCGGCUUAUCAGCUUGUUGGUGGGGUAGUGGCUUACCAAGGCUUUGACGGGUAGCCGGCCUGAGAGGGUGACCGGCCACAUUGGGACUGAGAUACGGCCCAGACUCCUACGGGAGGCAGCAGUGGGGAAUAUUGCACAAGGGGCGGAAGCCUGAGGCAGCAACGCCGAGUGCGGGAUGACGGCCUUCGGGUUGUAAACCGCUUUCGCCUGUGACGAAGCGUGAGUGACGGUAAUGGGUAAAGAAGCACCGGCUAACUACGU